GCCGGGAUGGCGGAAUGGUAGACGCAGUGGACUCAAAAUCCACCGAGAGCAAUCUCAUGGGAGUUCGAGUCUCCCCCCCGGCA
rnacentral:tRNA from 1 species